GACGAACGCUGGCGGCGUGCUUAACACAUGCAAGUCGAACGGAAAGGCCCUGCUUGCAGGGUACUCGAGUGGCGAACGGGUGAGUAACACGUGGGUGAUCUGCCCUGCACUUCGGGAUAAGCCUGGGAAACUGGGUCUAAUACCGGAUAGGAGCCAUUUUUAGCGUGAUGGUUGGAAAGUUUUUUCGGUGUAGGAUGAGCUCGCGGCCUAUCAGCUUGUUGGUGGGGUAAUGGCCUACCAAGGCGGCGACGGGUAGCCGGCCUGCGAGUGUGGACGGCCACAUUGGGACUGAGAUACGGCCCAGACUCCGACGGGAGGAAGCAGUGGGGAAGAUUGCACAAGGGGCGCAAGCCGGAUGCAGCGACGCCGCGGGGGGGAUGACGGCCUUCGGGUUGUAAACUCCUUUCGCUAGGGACGAAGCUUUUUGUGACGGUACCUAGAUAAGAAGCACCGGCUAACUACGUG
rnacentral:rRNA from 1 species